UAGCACAGAGAGCUUGCUCUCGGGUGACGAGCGGCGGACGGGUGAGUAAUGUCUGGGAAACUGCCUGAUGGAGGGGGAUAACUACUGGAAACGGUAGCUAAUACCGCAUAACGUCGCAAGACCAAAGUGGGGGACCUUCGGGCCUCAUGCCAUCAGAUGUGCCCAGAUGGGAUUAGCUGGUAGGUGGGGUAACGGCUCACCUAGGCGACGAUCCCUAGCUGGUCUGAGAGGAUGACCAGCCACACUGGAACUGAGACACGGUCCAGACUCCUACGGGAGGCAGCAGUGGGGAAUAUUGCACAAUGGGCGCAAGCCUGAUGCAGCCAUGCCGCGUGUGUGAAGAAGGCCUUCGGGUUGUAAAGCACUUUCAGCGGGGAGGAAGGCGGUGAGGUUAAUAACCUCAUCGAUUGACGUUAUCCGCAGAAGAAGCACCGGCUAACUCCGUGCCAGCAGCCGCGGUAAUACGGAGGGUGCAAGCGUUAAUCGGAAUUACUGGGCGUAAAGCGCACGCAGGCGGUCUGUCAAGUCGGAUGUGAAAUCCCCGGGCUCAACCUGGGAACUGCAUUCGAAACUGGCAGGCUAGAGUCUUGUAGAGGGGGGUAGAAUUCCAGGUGUAGCGGUGAAAUGCGUAGAGAUCUGGAGGAAUACCGGUGGCGAAGGCGGCCCCCUGGACAAAGACUGACGCUCAGGUGCGAAAGCG
rnacentral:rRNA from 1 species